rnacentral:lncRNA from 1 species
GAAGCAAUUUUGUCUUUGUGUGGAUGAAUUUUUUCCCCUACUUGGUAACAUCAUAUCAGUCCGAAUUUAUUUUUUAAAAAUUCAAAUACGGAUAAAAACUUUGAGCUAAGUAGAUUUGGAUUUGAUUUUGGUUACAAAGACUAUAAAAAAUAAUACAUAUGGAUGUGGAUAUUGAUUUUGUAUAUAUCUGAUUCGUAUUUAACCGUGAACAUUUAUUUAUAUUAUUUUUUUUCCUUUCUGUAGUAGAUUUUUAUUCAGUGAUAUGAAAUCGAAGUUCAGAUUCGAGUUUAAAAUUGGUUUCCGGGUUCAGAUUUUAGUUUGGUUCGGAUUUACCUUUUCAAAAUUUUUUCGGAUCGGAUUCACAUUUGGAAUUUUUUUCGAAUCCGAAUUUGGGUAUUCGAAAAGUUGGAAUAGAUCUGAUCCGUUGUCUUAUGGUGUUUAGGACGAAGGGUCUAUUCGGCUAUUAAUGCAACCAUUAAUGUGGUCAUGAGUGGAGAAGUCACCCCGUUAGGGUUUCCGCCGUUUAGAUUUUUUGCCCCGUCUCUUCUUCCUCCUCUCCGUCGCCGUCAUUGCCAUGAGCAGCCAGCGUUACUUCGGUGUUUGCCAGGAGGCUUGCGCACUGUUUCUGUCGCUGUCUCCGCCGUGGCAUGGCGGGGGUGGUGUGUACGAUCUAUGGAUCUUCUGAUUUGCUUAGAUGGCUGAGAGGGCACGUCAUCUGUAGCAACUCACCGGAUCCGGUAGGAUCCGGCCACCGGUGUAGAUGGCUGCAGGGAUUUGGCCGGAUUUGACAGGAUCUAUGGGUUUCUGAUUUGACCAUCAAAUUUUUCUUUUUUUUUCCUUUUUUCUUUGUCAAGUUUAUCUACUCCUAUGCCUGAUAUUUCUUCUAUAAAUAGCACCUCUUUUCUUGGUUUAGUUAUUUUUUUCUUAUGCUUAUGCUUAUGCUUAUGGUUUUUUCUCUCUACUCUCCUAUUCUGUUAGCUCUUUGUUGUACUCUUGGUUUUCUGCUACACCUGGUAGUCUGAGGUGUGGAAGUGUCACGCCCCGGGGUCCCUUUUCAGUUUAAAACAAAGCGGAAAAGCGUCUGAGUUUUUUUUUUUUUUUUUAAAAAUCUGACCCCAGAGUAUGCCAGAUCCGCCACAAAUACAGGGAAUCCACUGUUCACACGGACAGAGUCUCCCCUGUAUUUGCACGGCGUCGAUCAAAUACACAGUACAACCAGGAUACAACCACAACCAGAUGAAUAUAAAGAUAAUUAUACAUUCAUACAUUCACCAUUCACAUCACAGUUUUACAUUCAAGGUUUAAACAGAAAUCCACAUUUUCAAAUGUAAAUAAAUACUGAACCACAUAAACUAACUAAACUAUAUAUCAACAGAAAUACCA